GAAGGACGUAGUAGGCUGCGAUAAGCCUCGGGGAGCUGCCAAACGAGCUGUGAUCCGAGGGUGUCCGAAUGGGGAAACCCAGCACGCGUGAUGGCGUGUUACCCGCAUCUGAAUACAUAGGGUGUGUGGAGGGAACGCGGGGAAGUGAAACAUCUCAGUACCCGCAGGAAGAGAAAACAAUAGUGAUUCCGUCAGUAGCGGCGAGCGAACGCGGAUCAGGCUAAACCGCAUGCGUGUGAUACCCGGCAGGGGUUGCGUGUGUGGUGUUGUGGGGCAUGAUGUCCCGGUUCUGCCGGACCGGGCGCUGAUUGAUCGCGGGUUAGGGGAACGACUUGGAAGGGUCGGCCGGAGAGGGUGAGAGUCCCGUACCUGAAAACCUUGCGGCGGGGCGAUUUGUGUUCCCAAGUAGCAGCGGGCCCGUGAAAUCUGCUGUGAAUCUGCCGGGACCACCCGGUAAGCCUAAAUACUUCUUGGUGACCGAUAGCGGAUUAGUACCGUGAGGGAAUGGUGAAAAGUACCCCGGGAGGGGAGUGAAAUAGUACCUGAAACCGUGUGCUUACAAUCCGUCAGAGGCU
rnacentral:rRNA from 1 species